GAUGAAGAACGUAGCGAAAUGCGAUAAGUAAUGUGAAUUGCAGAAUUCAGUGAAUCAUCGAAUCUUUGAACGCACCUUGCGCUCCUUGGCAUUCCGAGGAGCAUGCCUGUUUGAGUGUCAUUAAAUUCUCAAGACCUGUCUGCUCUUUUGAUAGGUAUUGGAUUUUGGGGGUUGCAGGCUGUUUCAAAUAAAUAGCCUUGCUCUCCUUGAAUGUAUUAGUGGAGAAAAGCCAUUGAACUCCAUUGGUGUGAUAAAACCUAUCAAUGCCAGGAGCAAUAUCACUACUUCUCUCUGCUGUCUAACUGUGACUGUCUGUAUUAAUUAGUAUGGAUGGGGACAACUUGACCAACUUGACCUCAAAUCAGGUAGGACUACCCGCUGAACUUAAGCAUAUCAAUAAGCGGAGGA
rnacentral:misc_RNA from 1 species